GGCCUAACACAUGCAAGUCGAGCGGUAGAGAGGUGCUUGCACCUCUUGAGAGCGGCGGACGGGUGAGUAAUGCCUAGGAAUCUGCCUGGUAGUGGGGGAUAACGCUCGGAAACGGACGCUAAUACCGCAUACGUCCUACGGGAGAAAGCAGGGGACCUUCGGGCCUUGCGCUAUCAGAUGAGCCUAGGUCGGAUUAGCUAGUUGGUGGGGUAAUGGCUCACCAAGGCGACGAUCCGUAACUGGUCUGAGAGGAUGAUCAGUCACACUGGAACUGAGACACGGUCCAGACUCCUACGGGAGGCAGCAGUGGGGAAUAUUGGACAAUGGGCGAAAGCCUGAUCCAGCCAUGCCGCGUGUGUGAAGAAGGUCUUCGGAUUGUAAAGCACUUUAAGUUGGGAGGAAGGGCAGUUACUUAAUACGUGACUGUCUUGACGUUACCGACAGAAUAAGCACCGGCUAACUCUGUGCCAGCAGCCGCGGUAAUACAGAGGGUGCAAGCGUUAAUCGGAAUUACUGGGCGUAAAGCGCGCGUAGGUGGUUCGUUAAGUUGGAUGUGAAAUCCCCGGGCUCAACCUGGGAACUGCAUUCAAAACUGUCGAGCUAGAGUAUGGUAGAGGGUGGUGGAAUUUCCUGUGUAGCGGUGAAAUGCGUAGAUAUAGGAAGGAACACCAGUGGCGAAGGCGACCACCUGGACUGAUACUGACACUGAGGUGCGAAAGCGUGGGGAGCAAACAGGAUUAGAUACCCUG
rnacentral:rRNA from 1 species